AUUAAUUCAGACAAUCAACCUUUGUGGCACCAAAUGCAUUGAAAGUCAGAUCAGAUGGAAUUCUGGAAAGAGGCUGCAAAGAAAAAGCAUCAGCCUGCAUCACAAUUGGAUUGUUUUUUACAGGAUGUUCUGGACACAAUCUUAUGACCUCAACCUUUGACCAUUCAUUAAUACACCUGGAGGAACAGAAGCUGAGAUGAUUUCCACAGAUGACAGCAGGUUGUGUGUUUAGGGGCUCAACAGAACGGCUUGCCUCAAAACUAUACAUACAGAAGCUUCUGGCACUGGAGACAAACAACUACAGCGGCAGCUCCAUAUUGGAUCAGAUCGCAGACAUGCAGAAAUGACCUGAAG